CUAUUGCGACCUCCAAGUUGGAAAUAAUGUCAGAGACCUCAAUAUCUUUAGCGAUAACAGGGUGUUGAUCUUUCUUUUUUGAAAGAGCUUUUCUAUAUGGUGUUUCAUUGACCACACCCGAUUCGAGCUCGCGAAAGAAGAGAGCAAGUAAGCGAAGGUCUGGAUGUAGCCACCGAAAUCUAGAAGGUUCGCUAACGCGAAAUCCGGCUCGUUCCAGCAGAGGUUAAUGUGGAACAAAGGCAAAGCGACACAAAGAGCACUGCGCAUGAGGUUGCCUUAGAGAGGGCUUAACGCGCUUGUCACGCGGAUGACUGUUUACGAGCCUGUCACAUAUAAGACGUAAUAUCGCCUAUGCGAGUGACGGAUUGGCGAAUCCGGGUGCACUCGUUACCACUUGCAGAACCUUUUGCGCUGUUCGUUCGUUUAUUUAUCAAAGCCAUUCUGUCCCAUUGUAGAAAAAAACCUUACUGCGAGUAAUCCAAUUUCCAUUGUGGAAAAAAACCUUUUUAAUGCUCAUGGCUCCAUUGUGGCAAAAGAGCUUCUUUGUGUGGAUCAUCGUCAUUGUGGCUGGCAGUGCCAGUGAUGGAAGUUCGGCGAAUACGACGGAGACAACGUCAGCCUUCAGGUGGACCGAACACCUGUCGAGCACAAGACCCUUAAUCACGUCACCAACUGCGUCAAGCAUCAGUGCCUCGAUGACGUCAUCAUCUUCGUCAAGCCUUAGUCCCUCGUUAACGUCAUCAAAUACGUCAAGCAUUAAAACCAAAAUAACGUCAUCUACUACGUCAAGCAUUAGUCCCUCGAUGACGUCAUCAAAUACGUCAAGCAUUAGACCAUUGAUGACGUCAUUAACUACGUCAAGCAUUAGUCCCUCAAUGACGCCAUCCACUACGUCAAACAUUAGAACCACGAUAACGUCAUCUACUACGUCAAGCACUAGGCCCACGAUGACGUCAUCAACUACGUCAAGCAUUAGGCCCUCGAUGACGUCAUCCACUACGUCAAGCAUUAGUCCCACGAUGACGUCAUCUCCUACGCCAAGCAUUAGUCCCACGAUGACGUCAUCCCCUACGUCAAGCAUUAGGCCCUCAAUAACGUCAUCCACUACGUCAAACAUUAGAACCACGAUAACGUCAUCUACUACGUCAAGCACUAGGCCCACGAUGACGUCAUCAACUACGUCAAGCAUUAGGCCCUCGAUGACGUCAUCCACUACGUCAAGCAUUAGUCCCUCAAUAACGUCAUCCACUAUGUCAAACAUUAGAACCACGAUAACGUCAUCUACUAAGUCAAGCACUAGGCCCACGAUGACGUCAUCUCCUACGUCAAGCAUUAGUCCCACGAUGACGUCAUCUCCUACGUCAAGCAUUAGUCCCACGAUGACGUCAUCUCCUACGUCAAGCAUUAGUCCCACGAUGACGUCAUCCCCUACGUCAAGCACUAGGCCCACGAUGACGUCAUCCACUACGUCAAACAUUAGAAACACGAUAACGUCAUCUACUACGUCAAGCACUAGGCCCACGAUGACGUCAUCUCCUACGUCAAGCAUUAGGCCCUCGAUGACGAGUUGGCACAGUCAAUCCACAGACAUUCCGGACAGCAUUCCGUGAAUGGAAAUAUUGCCAGUUUGAGAUAGAUAAAAUCCGCCAACUUGACUGGAUGACCUGCCCAGCCUGUGACGACCUGCCACAUUCCAUGCACGUUGAUGGUUACAUGAAGCUUUACCGGUUCGCAUCUGCAGUAACGUGAGUACUGUUUUGUGCAAAGCUCAUUUACUUCAUAAUGUACAACUUGAUUCUAUGUUUGUAAAACUUUUGAGUUCACAACAUUUAAGUUAGUAAAGCAAAGGAGCUGGAUUAGCUCAGAUUAAAACAUGGUAAGCUUAGAUUAAAAUAACCAGCAUAAUAGUGCAGGUAGCUGGUUUCUGCUUUAAAGUUACUUUAAAGGGAGUACUUUUUUACGGGAGUAUUCCUUUUCUUCACUCUUUCCAACUCCAAAUCGGAGUACCACCGUAUUUGGUUUAUGUUUGAUUUAGCAACCCAUUUUUUCUAUGCAAUCCAUGACAUUCUUGAUUCCAGAGUGAUAGUUCUAAUGGCAUGUGUGGCGAAAGCAACUGGCGUGCUGCAGGGAAUGUGGUAAAGAAGAGGAAAAACCUUUCUGAAACAGGUCUCGAAAUCGCCGGAUGUAGACAUGCCCUUGCCCAUAAUGCAGUGAACAUGUUUCACGGGGAGAUUUAUGGGUACGCGCACUCCAGACAUCUCCAGACAACAUACUUUCUGCCAAAGGAAGUCGAAUUUUUUGGUAUGACGUAGUUUGUCAGUACUGGCCCUGGCUGCGGAUGCAUGAUCCAGACACAGCGUCAAAAAUGAAGCCCGCCUUAUCAGUUAUGCACGCCAAGGCACAUUCCUGGAACUGUCAGGUCACCACGUUAAGUAUAUGUACAGUUCCUAUUAUUGUAAAAUGGGCUUACAUUUGUCAGAUGUUACCAUGUUGCGAGUAUUAUUUCAACAGCCGCAGUGGGGAGGGCGAUGGCAGGAGGGUGUUGCCGCAACAACAGGCGAAGAGGUCGAACUGAUAAACAGCCACUUUUCUCGACUUGGGUCGCUAAUGGAACGCAGUGAUAGGCAUUUGAUUUUUAUUUUUGUUUCUGUUUUGUCUAUUUCGUUUCUAGUUCCAGUGCGCACCAAGCGUCUUCUGGUAGACUUAGAGAUGGAGAGGCGGCGGCACACCGAGGAAAGACAGGUGGUGAAAAGGGAGAUGCGCUCCUUUUUGCUUUACUACUGCAGAAACUUGUUACCGUCGUUGUAGCUGCAAAAAGAAAAACUUGAAGACUUUCUUGCAGGUGACACAGGCAACCAGGUUUUGCCGAUAGAUAUCACAACUGAGCCCCCACAACAGAGACGACGUUACGAAUCCAACUCCCUCAGAGAGGGUGUCCUCAGGGGAAAGCUGGCCCUGGUUCAACAAGGGAUCGAAUUUGCGAUGCGGCAAAUUUGGUCAGGCUUUUCUUCCUUUGCCCCUGUACUGAAUGAAGACUUGGACGAGUUCCGUGACACUCUGCAGACGCCUGAUGAAGAAGAAAACGAGGAGGAAGAAGAUGACGAAGAGGAGUCUGAUGAGAGUAGCGAUGACGAAGGAGACGACCCCACUCCGUCUAUAGCCAUACAGUCCAAAGACUUAGGCCAAGGCGUCCACGCCUGGUGUUUCCCUGAAACAAUAAGUCAAGGAACAUUCAACGGUGGAAACGGAAGCAGUGCAUGCAGCGUAAUUGCCUUGGUAAUUGGCCAUAUUUUCUGGAGCAAAUCUCUUUUGCUCCCGCGUCCGUCCGCUUUGCUCCCAGAGAGUAACGUUGCUGCAAUGUGCGCAGGUAUCGAGCAGGGAAACAGGAUUUAUGACCUGCAAAGGAGCAGCCUUCCCACGCGGUACCUGUCCAUAGAGGAAGCCGCAGGCUAUCUCGCACCAUGGUUUGACUGCUCCAUUCGUGAGACCUUACCCGUCCGCCUAGAAGAUCCGCACGAGGAAACAACAAUCGUAUAUCAGCUACAAAAUGCCGUUCCUCCUGUGGGGUCUUUCAAUCUAGCUUGCCUUACGAUAAGUUGUAGGUCUGCACUUUUCGUGAUCAGCGGCACUCAAAUUGCUUACUUUGAUAGCCACUCGCAUAUGGCUAAUCACGGCGCGCUAGUACUGUUAUGUGCAACAGAAAACAUGCGUACGUUUUGCGAGGCGUUAUGGCGUUACGAGGGCUUUAACAAAUCUACAUAUGGUAACUUCUCUAUGGUAGAAUUCUAUUAAAUUUGUAGCCGGGGUCACUUGCUGAAUAGACAAAUUGUUAGUCGUCCCUAACUUUUACUCGCUAACAUAUGCGCACACGCAAAUCUUCAGUGGAACAUAGGGAUGGGUGUCCUAUCGUGAUACAGAACGAGGACUCUUUACUUCGGGAUAUCAUUUCUGUCCCAACGCAACGUUAGGUAAAAGUGAUUGUAUAGGCAUGUAACUGUAACUGUAAAGUAGCACAUUUAUAUUAAUCCGGCGAGGCUGGGAUUAUCAAACAGACAGAACUUAUAAUUAAAAGUAGUGAAGAAAUCAAA